CACAACAUCUUUGUUUAUAUGUGGUGCUGGGGAUUGAACCUGGGCCGCACGCAUGCCAGGCGAGCGAGCUACUGCUUGAGCCACAUCCCCAGCCCCUACCAAGAGUUUUAAAUGAGAAGAAAUAUUAGAACUCCCUCCCAGAGCUGCCAGGGAUUAAUUAAGAAAGCAUGGAAGGACUCAGUAACAGCACAGCAAUCAUGGCCUCCUCAGAAAAUGAAGGACAUAUCCUGAGUCAACCUGUGGAAUUUCAAAGGACCAGGACCUUCCCAUGCUGCCCCUUGGAACUGAUGAGAAAACAAAACACAACAUUGGCUGUUUAAAGAGUCUGUAAAGAUGCUGUGAAAUCAAUGUUUAUAGCAGCACAAUUCACAGUAGCUAAACUGUGGAACCAACCUAGAUGCCCUUCAAUAGAUGAAUGGAUAAAAAAUGUGGCAUAUAUACACAAUGGAAUAUUAC